AUUGAACGCUGGCGGCAGGCUUAACACAUGCAAGUCGAGCGGGGGAAGUUGCUUCGGUAAUUGACCUAGCGGCGGACGGGUGAGUAAUACUUAGGAACCUGCCUAUUAAUGGGGGACAACAACUCGAAAGGGAUGCUAAUACCGCAUACGCCCUACGGGGGAAAGCAGGGGAGCACUUGUGACCUUGCGUUAAUAGAUGAGCCUAAGUCGGAUUAGGUAGGUGGUGGGGGAAAGGCCUGCCAAGGCGACGAUCUGUAGCGGGUCUGAGAGGAUGAUCCGCCACACUGGGACUGAGACACGGCCCAGACUCCUACGGGAGGCAGCAGUGGGGAAUAUUGGACAAUGGGGGGAACCCUGAUCCAGCCAUGCCGCGUGUGUGAAGAAGGCCUUAUGGUUGUAAAGCACUUUAAGCGAGGAGGAGGCUCUUUUGGUUAACACCCAAGAUGAGUGGACGUUACUCGCAGAAUAAGCACCGGCUAACUCUGUGCCAGCCGCCGCCGUAAUAC
rnacentral:rRNA from 1 species